AAGUUAAUAAUGGCUAGUAAUCCCUGUAGUAUAUUGUACUGGUAAUCAAGCUACUCUCCUUCCCUGCUUUGCUCUCGCGUUCCCCGAACAAGCAGGUCUCCUUGCCUGCGGUUUGCUGGGUGGUUCGGGGAACGCGAGAGCAAACCGCGGCGAAGCUGGUCUCCUUCCCUGCUUUGCUCUCGCGUUCCCCGAACAAGCAGGUCUCCUUGCCUGCGGUUUGCUGGGUGGUUCGGGGAACGGGAGAGCAAACCGCGGCGAAGCUACUCUCCUUCCCCGGUUUGCUCUCGCGUUCCCCCAACAAGCAGGAUGAAUCCGCCCUGUUACAAUGGAGACUUUUCUAAAAACCACCUCAUGGGUCACUGUUUUAGGAAAGGU